GGUAUAUAUCGGAAGGAAUCUUUUACUUUUUAAUGAUCGGCUCUAAUUGUCCUUGGAAAGCCCAGAUUCGAUUCAAAGAUCUGUGGAGAAAAAAAGAUGGAGAAACAAAUUUUGUCAACGAAAGCUGUUCUUCUUGGAGGUCUAGGUCCACGACAAUGUCAGUUGAGAUUUCUCAGCCAACUCUUCUUCUUCUAACUUGUGGAUGAUCUUUCUUUGGUUAUAAAACCCUAGCUGGAUCGGGGUUUUACAUACUCCAACAUGGAACACACUCAAACUCGUUUUUCCUACUGGGUCUCGGUCGCACUUUCAUGAUUUCCAUAGCUUUAUCAAUUGCCAAUUCAUGUUGAUUUCUCAUUGUAAUCGCAAUUCUCUAUUCAUCCUCCUCAACUGGUAUGUCUCAAUUUUGUAAACUAUCUAUAGGGUUUUGAUGCUCUGAGCAAACGUCUCCAUCAUCUUGAGGUGUUCUAUUCAAGGGCUCAAAUGUUCUAGUUGUCGAUGAUAUGGAGUCUUUUAAUUAGCAUCUUAUAAAACUUUCACCUAGUUGAUUACCAGAUACAAUACAUUUUUUCUGCAGGUUUCUUGCUUGGAUAGGUACACGUUUUUUUUGGUUAUUCAGACACAGACACAUAAACUCUUUCUUUGGUUCCCUCUUAUUGAUUUUUUUUCUUUGGCUUGAGAAAGCAGAAGUACAAACAACAGCAAGGGAACUGAAACAUGAACAUCAUCUUGCUCAGGGUUUGGUUUACUCAAUAUUCCAACAUCGGUCCUUUUGGUUUCACUAUAUUUGUUUCUGCUUCUCGGAAGCUAAGAGCAGCUCGGGGGGUUUAGGUCAAGGUUCUAAAGGAAAAAAGGAAAAAUAAAUAUAUGAAAAAUGCAAUAAUCAGAUAGAACCGGUGCCUAAUUAAGAGAAUGAAGAGUUGCUAAAAACCCCAUACGUGGCGGGUGCGGAUUGGGUUGAAAAAAUGUGGUCUCUUCUCUUUCUAUUCGGUUGUUCUCUUCUUCGAUGUUAUCGAAAUCUCUUCGUCGCUCUCUCUCUCUUCGUCGUCGAUCCUGUCCAAAUCUCCAACGGAGAUGAUGUUUAAUCGGUCAGCUUGUCGUCGAUUCUGUCUCUGUCUUGUUCGAUUUUGUCGAAAUCCCUUUGUCGGUUGGUCUCUCACUUCGUCGUCGAUUCCGUUGAAAUCACUUCUCCAUCCAAAGGCGUAGACAGAUACUUUUGGGACUGAUUGGAGAAGGGACUGGAAUCGCUGCAAAGGUUCUUAAAUCCAUGGGGAUCAAUCUUAAAGAUUCUCGUGUGGAGGUUGAGAAGAUCAUUGGAAGAGGCAGUGGUUGUGUGGCUGUGGAGAUCAUUGGAAGAAGCUCGACAACUUGGACAUAACUACAUUGGGCCAGAGCAUCUUCUGCUUGGUCUUCUUCGUGAAGGGGAAGGUGUUGCAGCUCGUGUCCUGGAGAAUUUGGCUGUAGAUGCUAGCAACAUACGGAUGCAGCUUUACUGUGAGAAGGAAAAGCUUUCAGAUGAUCAGUUUCUCGUAACCUGUGGAGCGAAGACAUGUGACAUAGAACACAUGUGACACAAUAAGCCAAAACAUAAACACCAUGUGACACAAAUAAACCAAGCUUUUGCUGUCUCUAUUUUUUUUUUUUUGAAGUUUUUUCUUGAGCUAUGUUCUCUCUAUAAGUUGUGUGUCGUCCAACUCAUUUAUUUCACAGAGAACACAUUUGUUCCAACAAAAACAUUAUCUUCUAUCAAA